rnacentral:rRNA from 1 species
CCUACGGGGGGCAGCAGUGGGGAAUAUUGGGCAAUGGGCGCAAGCCUGACCCAGCAACGCCGCGUGAAGGAAGAAGGCUUUCGGGUUGUAAACUUCUUUUCUCAGGGACGAAGCAAGUGACGGUACCUGAGGAAUAAGCCACGGCUAACUACGGGCCAGCAGCCGCGGUAAUACGGAGGUGGCAAGCGUUAUCCGGAUUUACUGGGGGUAAAGGGCGUGUAGGCGGGAAAGCAAGUCAGAUGUGAAAACCAUGGGCUCAACCUGUGGCCUGCAUUUGAAACUGUUUUUCUUGAGUACUGGAGAGGCAGACGGAAUUCCUAGUGUAGCGGUGAAAUGCGUAGAUAUUAGGAGGAACACCAGUGGCGAAGUCGGUCUGCUGGACAGCAACUGACGCUGAGGCGCGAAAGCGUGGGGAGCAAACAGGAUUAGAUACCCCGGUAGUC